GGAGUCUGGACCGUGUCUCAGUUCCAAUGUGGCUGUUCAUCCUCUCAGAUCAGCUAUAGAUCGUCGGCUUGGUAGGCCGUUACCCCACCAACUACCUAAUCUUCCGCGGGCCGUUCUAUCAGCGAAUUUCUCCUUUCCCCCUUAGGGCUUAUGCGGUAUUAGCAGUCGUUUCCAACUGUUGUCCCCCACUAAUAGGUGCGUUCCCACGUGUUACUCACCAGUGCGCUACUCUCAUGUUAAAUAGCAAGCUACUUAACACUCCCGUUCAACUUGCAUGUGUUAAGCCUGCCGCCAGCGUUCGUU
rnacentral:rRNA from 1 species